CAGUAGCCGCGGUAAAACGGAGGGGGCUAGCGUUGUUCGGAAUUACUGGGCGUAAAGCGCACGUAGGCGGCUUGGUAAGUUAGAGGUGAAAGCCCGGAGCUCAACUCCGGAAUUGCCUUUAAGACUGCCGAGCUAGUAGGUGAGAGAGGUAAGUGGAAUUCCGAGUGUAGAGGUGAAAUUCGUAGAUAUUCGGAAGAACACCAGUGGCGAAGGCGGCUUACUGGCUCAUUCUAGACGCUGAGGUGCGAAAGCGUGGGGAGCAAACAGGAUUAGAUACCCCAGUAGUCCCUGUCUCUUAUAC
rnacentral:rRNA from 1 species